rnacentral:rRNA from 1 species
AUGAGGAGCACGCCGGCUGUCGCCGCCCCGUCCGCGGGGUCCGUGCGCGCAGCGUCGUGUCUCCUCCGUCGCGAAAAAAAUAACAAACGACUCUCGGCAACGGAUAUCUCGGCUCUCGCAUCGAUGAAGAACGUAGCGAAAUGCGAUACUUGGUGUGAAUUGCAGAAUCCCGUGAACCAUCGAGUCUUUGAACGCAAGUUGCGCCCCAAGCCAUUAGGCCGAGGGCACGUCUGCCUGGGUGUCACGCAUCGUCGCCCCUCCCCAUCCCUGGCCCCUCGGGGCUCCGGGUGAGGCGGGGGGCGGAAAAUGGCCUCCCGUGAGCUCCGCGCUCGCGGUUGGCCUAAAAUCGGGUCCUCGGCGACGAUAGCGCCGCGACAAUCGGUGGUCAUGCCUCGAGCGCUCCGGUCGCGUGCGUUUUCGUUCGUUCGGACCCUUCGAGACCCUACUCGCGUCGCACGAGCGAUGCUCGCAUCGCGACCCC